UACGUAGGGUGCAAGCGUUAAUCGGAAUUACUGGGCGUAAAGCGUACGCAGGCGGCUUUGCAAGACAGGUGUAAAAUCCCCGGGCCUAACCUGGGAACUGCAUUUGUGACUGCAUGGCUAGAGUUUGUCAGAGGGGGGUGGAAUUCCACGUGUAGCAGUGAAAUGCGUAGAUAUGUGGAGGAACACCGAUGGCGAAGGCAGCCCCCUGGGAUGUGACUGACGCUCAUGUACGAAAGCGUGGGGAGCAAACAGG
rnacentral:rRNA from 1 species